UACAGAGGUGGCAAGCGUUGUUCGGAAUUACUGGGCGUAAAGGGCGCGUAGGCGGCCUUCUAAGUCAGACGUGAAAUCCCCCGGCUUAACCUGGGAACUGCGUCUGAUACUGGGAGGCUUGAGUAUGGGAGAGGGAUGUAGAAUUCCAGGUGUAGCGGUGAAAUGCGUAGAUAUCGGGAGGAACACCAGUGGCGAAGGCGGCUUUCUGGUCUGCUCUUGACGCUGAGGCGCGAAAGCUAGGGUAGCAAACGGGG
rnacentral:rRNA from 1 species